rnacentral:rRNA from 1 species
GUUCAAAGCGGGCAGAUAUUUUUCCUGCCACCGAAUACAUUAGCAUGGGAUAAUGGAAUAGGACCCUGACCUCCUAUUUUCAGUUGGUUUUGUUUACAGCGAGGUUAUAUCAGGGUAAUGAUUAAUAGGGAUAGUUGGGGGCAUUAAUAUUUAAUUGUCAGAGGUGAAAUUCUUGGAUUUAUGAAAGAUUAACUUCUGCGAAAGCGUUUGCCAAGGAUGUUUUCAUUAAUCAAGAACGAAAGUUAGGGGAUCGAAGACGAUCAGAUACCGUCSUWSUCUUCCCCAUAAACGAUGCCSMCCAGYKWUUAGGAGACGUUGAAU